CCUACGGGAGGCAGCAGUGAGGAAUAUUGGUCAAUGGGCGCGAGCCUGAACCAGCCAAGUAGCGUGAAGGAUGACUGCCCUACGGGUUGUAAACUUCUUUUAUAAAGGAAUAAAGUGAGGCACGUGUGCCUUUUUGUAUGUACUUUAUGAAUAAGGAUCGGCUAACUCCGUGCCAGCAGCCGCGGUAAUACGGAGGAUCCGAGCGUUAUCCGGAUUUAUUGGGUUUAAAGGGAGCGUAGAUGGGUUGUUAAGUCAGUUGUGAAAGUUUGCGGAUCAAACGGAAAAUUGCAAUUGAUAGUUGCAGUCUUGAGUAAAGUUGAGGUAGGCGGAAUUCGGUGGGGAGCGGUGAAAUGGUUAGAUAUAACGAAGAA
rnacentral:rRNA from 1 species